rnacentral:rRNA from 1 species
AGAGUUUGAUCCUGGCUCAGGACGAACGCUGGCGGCGCGCCUAACACAUGCAAGUCGAACGAGCGAGAGAGAGCUUGCUUUCUCAAGCGAGUGGCGAACGGGUGAGUAACGCGUGAGGAACCUGCCUCAAAGAGGGGGACAACAGUUGGAAACGACUGCUAAUACCGCAUAAGCCCACAGCUCGGCAUCGAGCAGAGGGAAAAGGAGCAAUCCGCUUUGAGAUGGCCUCGCGUCCGAUUAGCUAGUUGGUGAGGUAAUGGCCCACCAAGGCGACGAUCGGUAGCCGGACUGAGAGGUUGAACGGCCACAUUGGGACUGAGACACGGCCCAGACUCCUACGGGAGGCAGCAGUGGGGAAUAUUGCACAAUGGGGGAAACCCUGAUGCAGCGACGCCGCGUGGAGGAAGAAGGUCUUCGGAUUGUAAACUCCUGUUGUUGAGGAAGAUAAUGACGGUACUCAACAAGGAAGUGACGGCUAACUACGUGCCAGCAGCCGCGGUAAAACGUAGGUCACAAGUGUUGUCCGGAAUUACUGGGUGUAAAGGGAGCGCAGGCGGGAAGACAAGUUGGAAGUGAAAUCUAUGGGCUCAACCCAUAAACUGCUUUCAAAACUGUUUUUCUUGAGUAGUGCGGAGGUAGGCGGAAUUCCCGGUGUAGCGGUGGAAUGCGUAGAUAUCGGGAGGAACACCAGUGGCGAAGGCGGCCUACUGGGCACCAACUGACGCUGAGGCUCGAAAGUGUGGGUAGCANACAGGAUUAGAUACCCUGGUAGUCCACACCGUAAACGAUGAUUACUAGGUGUUGGAGGAUUGACCCCUUCAGUGCCGCAGUUAACACAAUAAGUAAUCCACCUGGGGAGUACGACCGCAAGGUUGAAACUCAAAGGAAUUGACGGGGGCCCGCACAAGCAGUGGAGUAUGUGGUUUAAUUCGACGCAACGCGAAGAACCUUACCAAGUCUUGACAUCCUGCGACGCACAUAGAAAUAUGUGUUUCCUUCGGGACGCAGAGACAGGUGGUGCAUGGUUGUCGUCAGCUCGUGUCGUGAGAUGUUGGGUUAAGUCCCGCAACGAGCGCAACCCUUACUGUCAGUUACUACGCAAGAGGACUCUGGCAGGACUGCCGUUGACAAAACGGAGGAAGGUGGGGAUGACGUCAAAUCAUCAUGCCCUUUAUGACUUGGGCUACACACGUACUACAAUGGCGUUAAACAAAGAGAAGCAAGACCGCGAGGUGGAGCAAAACUCAGAAACAACGUCCCAGUUCGGACUGCAGGCUGCAACUCGCCUGCACGAAGUCGGAAUUGCUAGUAAUCGUGGAUCAGCAUGCCACGGUGAAUACGUUCCCGGGCCUUGUACACACCGCCCGUC